AGUGAACGCUGGCGGUAGGCCUAACACAUGCAAGUCGAACGGCAGCACAGUAAGAGCUUGCUCUUACGGGUGGCGAGUGGCGGACGGGUGAGGAAUACAUCGGAAUCUACUUUUUCGUGGGGGAUAACGUAGGGAAACUUACGCUAAUACCGCAUACGACCUACGGGUGAAAGCAGGGGAUCUUCGGACCUUGCGCGAUUGAAUGAGCCGAUGUCGGAUUAGCUAGUUGGCUGGGUAAAGGCACACCAAGGCGACGAUCCGUAGCUGGUCUGAGAGGAUGAUCAGCCACACUGGAACUGAGACACGGUCCAGACUCCUACGGGAGGCAGCAGUGGGGAAUAUUGGACAAUGGGCGCAAGCCUGAUCCAGCCAUACCGCGUGGGUGAAGAAGGCCUUCGGGUUGUAAAGCCCUUUUGUUGGGAAAGAAAAGCAGCAGGUUAAUACCCCGCUGUUCUGACGGUACCCAAAGAAUAAGCACCGGCUAACUUCGUG
rnacentral:rRNA from 1 species